GUGUGCAACUACUUUAUCCUAGUAACACAAACAGAAGAAAAUCCGUUUUUUAAUCCCUUUCAAACUCGAGGAAUCUGGGACUUCCACGCCUCUUCCCACCUGCUCCUGACAGUUUGCUUGUCAUUCUUUUUUUUUUUCUGUGAUAUUCGCUGUUUUCUUAGAUCUUCUUUUUUAAUCAAUAAAGGGAGCGACACAUGCAGCGGGUCGGUGCUGCAUGUGGACCACAAGGUGGAGAGCUGGAGACUGGAAUUAACCACGCCAGUGCCUCCCACACAGAGAGCUCUGAAAUGUGACAGAGGGGAACUCGGGCUGACCUCUUCAAGCAGCUUUGUGUCACGGCAGCACCAUGUCUGGAGAAUUCAGAUGAAAUAUUCUCUAAUCAUGUUUCCUAAUGUGGACCCACCACAAGCAGGAACAAAAGCUGGAUCUUCAGAGCUAACAUUUGCAAAACUGCUUUUUUGCAUCCUUAAUGCCAAGAAAUACACACAUGGAAGCUGAUCAUGACGGGGCUAUAUGUGACAAAGAAAAUGCCCAGUUGGAUACAAGUGUCUUCAUUCAAGCUGUGGCGGUCCUCCCUGGUUCGGCUAGCACAGGCGUGUGUCUGCUGUCCACCAGAGCUCAAACACAUGUUUGAACAUAUUUUAGAAGGUGCAAACUCUAAAAAACUAAAACCCAUGGGAGCCAGCAGGCUUUAGUGUUAAGUUUAAGAUAAAAAUAGAGGUAACUAAAUCAGUUUUCUUGGAAUUUAAAAAAACAAAACAUGAUUAGUUUUGCAGGAGAUGGUCUGUAUCUCAUUGUACAACUGUACAGUGACAAUAAAGGCAUUCUAUCUAUCUAUCUAUCUAUCUAUCUAUCUAUCUAUCUAUCUAUCUAUCUAUCUAUCUAUCUAUCUAUCUAUCUAUCUAUCUAUCUAUCUAUCUAUCUAUCUAUCUAUCUAUCUA
ensembl:lncRNA